rnacentral:rRNA from 1 species
UGCGUAGGCGGACAAAUAAGUCAGGGGUGAAAGACUUCGGCUCAACUGAAGAAUUGCCUUUGAUACUGUUUGUCUUGAAUUAGGUUGAGGUCAGCGGAAUGUGACAUGUAGCGGUGAAAUGCAUAGAUAUGUCAUAGAACACCAAUUGCGAAGGCAGCUGGCUAGGCCUGCAUUGACGCUGAGGCACGAAAGCGUGGGGAGCGAACAGGAUUAGAUACCCUGGUAGUCC